GAUGAACGCUGGCGGCGUGCCUAAUACAUGCAAGUCGAGCGAACAGACGAGGAGCUUGCUCCUCUGACGUUAGCGGCGGACGGGUGAGUAACACGUGGAUAACCUACCUAUAAGACUGGGAUAAAUUCGGGAAACCGGAGCUAAUACCGGAUAAUAUAUUGAACCGCAUGGUUCAAUAGUGAAAGACGGUUUUGCUGUCACUUAUAGAUGGAUCCGCGCCGCAUUAGCUAGUUGGUAAGGUAACGGCUUACCAAGGCGACGAUGCGUAGCCGACCUGAGAGGGUGAUCGGCCACACUGGAACUGAGACACGGUCCAGACUCCUACGGGAGGCAGCAGUAGGGAAUCUUCCGCAAUGGGCGAAAGCCUGACGGAGCAACGCCGCGUGAGUGAUGAAGGUCUUCGGAUCGUAAAACUCUGUUAUUAGGGAAGAACAAAUGUGUAAGUAACUAUGCACGUCUUGACGGUACCUAGUCAGAAAGCCACGGCUAACUACGUG
rnacentral:rRNA from 1 species